rnacentral:lncRNA from 1 species
AGGGUUUAUAGCAAACUUUAUUUAUUUAUUUACUUAGCAAACUAAGCAAAGAUAUAUAUAUAUAUCAGCACAAAAUCUUUAUUUGGAUUUUUAUGAUCAUGCAUCGUUUUAUUAUUUGAGUAAAGUAUAAACGUGAGUAGAACACUUAGCUGGAUAAAUGGGGUUGCUCUCCCCCAAGCUGGAUUUUGACGUAAUUUCUCCUGAUGUAGCUAGCAGGUGGCGGAGGUGUAUUUGAAUGUCGGUAGCACCCUGACAGCGAUUAGGAUGUCCUUUGUCUCCUAGUCUUCUUUGAUCCUUGAAUUCUGUGGAGCUGAAAUACACAACAAAGCUUUGUGGAACUAGUUAAGUGUUAGCAUAAAUAUCUAGCCUUUAUCAUGUUGAGCCUCCUCAAUAAAUGUUACACUCUUUGGCAGGAUCAUAAAUUUAUUUUUAUAUUUUUAUUUUUAUAGGACAGAAAUAUAUUUAUUUUAUUUUUAUGCCACCACAGUGAAUGUACUUAUGGGGUUUAUGCCACUCAUAUACUCACAUGGGGCUUACAAUUUUUUAACAUUUUUUAUUUUCUUUUCAAGAUGAUAUGAACCUGAUUAACUAAUCAAACUAUUUUAAAUAAUUGAAAGGAAAAAGGAUAACUACCAAGUUUACCUCUUGGCAAGCGUUCGGUGUUUUUGAGUCCUCCAAACGGAACUCUCCGUUUUCUCAGUCGUCCUGGGAUUCGCUGGAUGGCGUAGUCGGUGGUUCCGUGGCGCCUCCUCUUCAUGUAUGACUAUCCUCUCUCUCCACACCUGACUCGGUGCUACGGUCUCCUCAGGACAGUUCUGUUCAAGCUGUAUGUCUUCAGACCUUACCACUUUUUCCUUCGUUGUCUGCCCAUCCGUCCUUGAUGAUUUGCCUCCUCUGGUUGCAGUUGCGUCGUCUCCUUCUUGUCAUGACCUGCUUAGAGUCUUCAACUAUAUAGUUAGGGUGAGUAAAAUAGCGCGUACCUUCUCAGAGGGGAAGUGCAUGUUGACUUCUCCGGUUCCAAUAUUGAUGAUUGCUUUAACGGUGCUGAGGAACGGUCUCCCAGGGAUGAUGGGUGGAUCGUACUCGUCUUCUUCAACCUUUCGGAAUGUCUAAUCUGCCAUCUGGAGCUGAGUGUAUGUCGGUUUUAGGGGCAUGGUUCUGAACAGGAGGUGAUAGGUGACUGCGGCCAUUGUGUUGACGCCUGACCCGGUGUCGCACAGUGCUUCUGGGAAGUCCACCAUGCCGAUGGAGAUCAAGAUGACGGGCAUCCUAGAUCGCCUCUCGGAGUAGUUAGGCCUCUGUUGAUUCCAACCUUGAUUUUGUUGAGGACGAUUUGUUGAUGUAGUUUACGUCCUCAAGUAUCUCAGGGCAGUGAUUGCCUGAGUGUCCAGUAUCUCUAGUGUGUUUGUACUCGUAGAUCUAUGUUCUUCACUUGGUGGAGUGUGGGAGUUGUAAAACUCCUCCAUAUUUUGCUUGAAGUGUACCUGCUCAUAGAGACAAGGUAGAGAUCAAGUGCAUGGGCCCUGUUGGUGGAAAACACCAACAAAACCAAAAGUGUAUUUGUUCUCUCUAACCUUAAGCAUAGUGAGCAAGACAAAGUUGAUGGAUAAUAAGAUCAUGAGUGUAGCAUUUAAAACAUUUGUCAGAUUAGAUCGCUCAACCUAAUGGAAAGAUAAUCUAUCUAUACUUAUGUUUUUAUAUAUAUCUUCCAAAGAUUACGUGUGCAACAUUUUAGCUCACAUGAUUAGGAGUGUGGGAUCACAAAGGUGGAAGGACUAAACAUAUUGAAUCGAUUGGGUUGGUAAAUCUAGAGUUGUAAAUCAUACAUGUUUGUCUCUUUUAUUCAUGUGAACACCAGAACCAAGGAGAAGCUUACAAAAGUGAUAGUCAAGUACUUUAAGAUGUUACCUUACUUGAAGAGUGGUGGUACAAUAUCACCUUGUGAAAGCUUCCCUUUCUUAGCGGUUGUGCAUCGUGUUUGUGGCACCCUCCAUGGAUCAUCUCUUGUGAGCGAUGACUUCCUUGUGUAAAUUGUUAAACUUCAUGUGUCUCUCUCUUUUUCUCCAAUGUGAGUUUAUCUCAGGACUUCCCAGGUCGAUAUUGAAAGUUUUCCUGCAGGGGUUAGUCCAACAAAAUAUCCCAUAUCUACUAUAGCAUACUAUCGGCUCAAAAGUCAACCUAGACACCAUGUCUACUUUGAUUUAGGAGGGCAUUUUAACCUAAGCACCAUGCUUAAUUUAAAAUCCCUUGGAAGUAACAUCAUCAUUCCUAAACUAAGCACCAUGCUUAAUUAAGAGAUAAAUGAAACUGCUCCAAACCUAGACAUAUACUAAAGCAAAUAAAGGUAGCAUGAGAGCAUUUAUAGAGAUUUACUCAAGUGGAGAUGAAGUAGUGUGAUUAGUAUUUAACAAAUUGAGCAUGUCUCAAAGGUAGGGACAACCAACAUAGCAACAUGACAAAGGAUGUUUUUAUGUAAAGUACUCCCCCAAGCUUGAAUUUUGCAAAAUUCAAGUUUGGAUGAAUUUAAUACACUGUUGUAUGAUGAUUGGUUGGACAUACCUUGUGCUUGUCAUUCAUCCGAUCUUCUUGCUCUAAACCUGGAAAGGUUAGUGACAAGAAUACCCAAAGGAAUUUUUUACAAUUAUCCUUAUAUGCUCAAUACACAAGGUAAUGUUGUAAAUAAUUAAAAGCUCAUGUUACGAUCUGAUCAGUGCUUAUUUUAGGACACUAAGCUUGUCCUUGGGAAACCAUCAAUUUAUGUCGGCGAAGUGGUUUCCCCUCCAAUGCUGACCUAUAUCAAGAUCAACUCAACGAGAUCUGCAAUAUUUAUUAUAGACAUAUGCAUCGACAACCGCCCUUUUAAAUUUUUUAUAAAUAGAAAGGAAGAGGGGGUUGGAGAUCUCAAAUGUGGUGAUGUUGGAGAGACCAAAAGAUUGGGAAGAUGUUGCAUAUGAGCAUGGAGCAAAUGAAGUGGCUAUGAAAUAAAUUCCAUGCUCAUUAAUGCUUUGAGUGAAAUCCAUGUGGUGUGGUGAAAAUGGUAAGAUGAGUGUGACAAAAAAGGAAAAGAGAAAGGAUACACGGAUGACUUGGUUUGAAACUAGCACAACUACCGGUCCCCGGCAAUGGCGCCAAAAAGCUUGUUAGGUAUUUUAAACACAAACAGAAAAAUCUGCAAGCGCACGGAUACCGAUGUAGCCUUCACCCGGGAGUAUUCCAGAGUAUCGAUUUUCCACAGGGAACGUGAGUGUACUAAUUAAGAUUCAAGAUCGCCCAAGGAUAACUAUGUAAUUAUUUUUGGUGGGAAGAGAGGAAGUUUCCUGAGAGUUCUCUAGUUGAUCUAAGAAUCAAGAAUUACUUCAAGAUUAUCUAUUUCGGGACAUCAGAACACUAACCACAGAAAGAGAUGAGAAGGGGGCUAGGAAGCUCUGACUACGGUCCUACAAACACCUAUCCGAACGAGGUGGAAUACGUCGACCGUUAGGGCUGUCACUACCCUAGGGCUACCACAACAAUCUGCAGGAUUAGGUGCAAUUCUAGGUAAUUGCAAGACUAAACACCACGUCUAAUCUAUUAAUUACUACUCUAGCAUUAUAAAGACUAGAGCACUUGAUGCAAGCGAGAAUCCAAUAAGUAAUUUGAAUUUAAAUAAAAGUAAGUAAAGAACUCAGGAAUUAUGAAUUGAAGAACUUGGAGAACGCCGAAGAACGAACCAGUUGCAGCAAAAGUAUAAUGUUGAGGAAGAUCCGACAGAUCUGGCUCCUCCUCCGCUCUCCUCUUCUCUCUCCCUAUUUUCUAGAUUACAACUAGAACGAACUAGAACUAGAACUAGAGGAACUAGAACUAGAUGAACUAGAACUAGAACUAGAUGAACUAGAGGGAUCCUCUCUACUUGGAUGAAGAAUUGAAACCCUAGCUUUGAUUCUGUAGAAGAGGAAUGAUCUCUAGGGGCCAGGGGGCCUUGGUUAUAUAGUCUUUUCAGAUGAAUCUAGGCCGUCGGAUCAAACCGACAUUAAUCACACGGUUUUUCUUGAUCUCUUAGGUCGGUGGAGCACGAUCCGCAAAGUUGAUCGUGAUUGGUGGAAAAAGGUGGGUGGGCGCCCUAAAGAGUAGGGCGGGCGCCCUGUCCCUAAGCCCUCUCGGCUUCCCAUUCGUUCCCGUGGCUUCUGGAGUCUUCUAGAUGAUAGAAAAUUGCGCUGCACGUUAAUAUCUCUAUGUAAACCCGACGUGUGGGCCUUUCUUCCGUAUUUCCUGAUAACCCCCUGCAGAAAUAGACAAACACCAAAACUCGUGGAAUUCUAUUAGAUAAAACCCUAAGUCUGGGUGUUGGUUGCAUUUGAAUCCUUUUCCAUGAUUAAUUGACGGUUAAAUGUGAGCAUUAAGGACCGUCAACAAGCUCCUCAAAGCUUGACCUUUGCUCGUCCCUGAGCAAAGAUGAACUCAAGUGUUUCUGAAGUGGUUUCAUGCCUUAAAGGUACACAUGUGUUCAAACAGGAUCUCAUCUCUGGGUUAGGGUAAACUGUUAAGAUUUAAACUUACUCAUUUUACCUUCCACCAUGGGACUUGUAACCGUCACUUGUGUCUUGAGCAGUUAAAAGAUAGAACGGUCUAGUCAUGCGCCAUGUCUCUUAUUCUUGAUCAACUAUAGCUCUGGAGUUUUUGCAAAUUUUCAAAAUAAAUCUCAGAGAUUCCUUAUGACUCUCUCAAUUCUCUUUUUUAUGGUAUUUCUAGAUCCUUACCAAGGCAGUAAUGGUGUAUGCCUUCUCUCAAAGUAUGUGGUAUUUUUGGUAUGAGGCAUAGUGGCAUUGCCUUCUCUUUCACCCUACUCUAAUAAGGUUUUGAUAUCUGGAGCUCAUAGGUGGGAGACAGCUAAUACAUACUUACAAGACAUUUAUUGCAUAGUCAAACCAUGGAUCCAGAAGAACAAGUCAAUAAGUCAAAUCAAGAUGUGCAUGUGUGGUGAAUGAAUGGUGUAUGGUGAUGAUGGUGAUAACAACGGUGAAACUCUAAUUCUACUUGUGCUCUUUUGAGGGGAUACAUACCUUUCUUGCUCUUUUGAAACUUUUUGAGGAGAAUGAGAUACUCUAUAUUUUCUUUUUCUUUUCUCUCAGGUGGGUAUCUUGUACCCCUAUUUCUACUGUCGGACACUUGUCCAUUUUUACCACUCGUCUCACUUUUUCUAUUCUUUCGAGGUUCCGGGCACUUGCCCCUUUUUAUUUCCUCGUAUCUUCUUCUUUUUUUAGAGCACUCAUCUCUUGAAAUAAUGUAGCAAGUGGUAGUAACUGAAAUAACUUGAGCAUUUAUUUCACAGGGGAAAACAGAAACAGGAGAAUGUUUUUGGCUAUUCUCUCCUAGAUAGGAGUAGAAUAAUUUUGGGUGAAUCUGGAUAUGGAAAUGAGUGGAUGUAUGUGGAUGCGUACUUCCAGAGUAGAAGCAGCAUGUGUGAGUGAACGUGCAAGUGAAUCUUGAUUUAACCACAUGACAAGCUCCUAAGGGUCUACACAGCUUGACCACACUCAAUGCUCAUAAGCAGUAAAAAGUAAAUGUGUGGCCCAAAGUCUAGCAAGCAUUGUUGGGUAUUUUAAACGCAAACAAAAAAAUCCGCAAGCGAACGGAUACCGAUGUAGCCUUCACCCGGGAGUAUUCCAGAGUAUCGAUUUUCCACAGGGAACGUGAGUGUACUAAUUAAGAUCCAAGAUCGCCCAAGGAUAACUAUAUAAUUAUUUUUAGUGGGAAGAGAGGAAGUUUCCUGAGAGUUCUCUAGUUGAUCUAAGAAUCAAGAAUUACUUCAAGAUUAUCUAUAUCGGGACAUCAGAACACUAACCAUAGAAAGAGAUGAGAAGGGGGCUAGGAAGCUCCGACUACGGUCCUACAAACACUGAUACGAAUGAGAUGGAAUACGUCGACCGUUAGGGCUGUCACUACCCUAAGGCUACCACAACAAUCCGCAGGAUUCGGUGCAAUUCCAGGUAAUUGCAAGACUAAACACCACGUCUAAUCUAUUAAUUACUACUCUAGUGUUAUAAAGACUAGAGCACUUGAUGCAAGCGGGAAUUGAAUAAAUAACUUGAAUGUAAAUAAAAGUAAUUAAAGAACUCAGGAAUUAUGAAUUGAAGAACCUGGAGAACGAUGAAGGACGAACCAGUUGUUGCAAAAGUACAAUGUUGAGGAAGAUCCGACAGAUCCGGCUCCUCCUCCGCUCUCCUCUUCUCUCUCCCUAUUUUCUAGAAUACAACUAGAACUAACUAGAACUAGAACUACAGGAACUAGAACUAGAUGAACUAGAACUAGAACUAGAUGAACUAGAGGUAGAACUAGAAGAACUAGAGGGAUCCUCUCUACUUGGAUGAAGAAUUGAAACCCUAACUUUGAUUCUGUAGAAGAGGUAUGCCUCCAGGGGCUGGUGGGGGUCUGCUUAUAUAGUCCAGGAAGAGUAGCCCCCAAGAAAUCUAGGAAGAGUAGCUCCCAAGAAAUCUAGGAAGAGUAGCUCCCAAGGAAUUUCCACGUUAUUCUCCACCAUCCGAUCAAACCGACCUUAAUCGUGUGAUUUUCCUUGAUCCUUAGAGUCGGUGGAGCAUUGUUGAUGGUUCUUAAGUAUCAAUUUUAAUUAUCAAAUAAACAAGGGAAAGGACCAAUAUACAACCAACACCUAGAAUUAGGGUUUGAUCUGAUAGAAUUCCACGAGUUUUGUUGUUUAUCUGUUUCUGCAGGGGGUUAUCAGGAAAUAAGGAAGAAAGGCCCACAUGUCGGGAUUACAUAGAGAUAUCAACGCACCGCGCGAUUUUCUACCAUCUAGAAGACUCCAAGCCACGGGAAGAAAAUAGAGGCCGAAAGGGGCCAGGCCCAGGGCGCCAGCCCUGGUGACCUGGGCGCCCACCCCCUGCUGGAUCUAGUUCGGGACUCUCUUCGCACGGGAUGUUCCACCGACCUAUUGGAUCGAGGAAAACAGAGUACCACCUCGCCUACCGACCCAAAAACGCAUAGAGGAGGAGGACUAUAUAAGGAGACCCCCUGGCCCCUGGAGAAGACAUGAAGAAAUUAUCAUAAAGAUUGAGGGGUGCCCUCGAAGGAAAACCUCUUCUCUAAUUAAUAUUUCUUUUUAGGCUUAGCAACCAAUGUAAAGUAGAAAUAGAUCUUCUAGUUUCUACUAGAUUGAGAGAGAUAUAGUGGAGGUGUAGAUUGGAGGAAGCCCGGCCUGUCGGUGUCUAAUCCAAGCUUGUACCUGCGGGAUCAAGUUCUCCUAACCCGAAGCUUGCUCCUAGGAUUCUUCAGUAUUUCGACUUCUAAAUUCUAGUAAGUUCUUGUUUUAUUGUUCUUAUGGUUUAUGAGUUUACUUUAAUCUCUUCGCGUAGAGUUUAGAGUAAUCAUUGCUGGCGUAAAUGUGGUGUUUAGGCUGGGGUACUCAUAGAUAUUCCCUGACUAGCUGGACCAUGGUAGUAGUGAGGAACGUGACAAUUCCGAGUUACCUUUGUAGACCAUAUCUCGUUAGCAGGAUGGAUAGGGUUUAUAGGUGCGGGUUGAACAUCCUUUGUGGUGUCUAAAUUCUAUUAGCCUCCCCAUUAGAACAGUAGAUCAUCCUUACCAAGGUUAGAAGGAGACUACGGUUGCAGUCUUCUCUAUUUAUCACUCACAUCGAAAGACAUUCUUUGUGCCUAAAGGGUUAGUAGUAAUAGACCGGUUAGUCAGAUGCACUCUUUCUCCUAGUGGUAAAAAAAUAAAUACGAUACUCUGGAUAAUUUCCCAGGUGAAGUGCUCACCGAUAUCCGUGCGCUUGCGUAUCAAUUCCUUAUUGCGUUCCCAAAUAUCAACAAGCAUUUCUGGCGCCGUUGCCGAGGAGAAAGACGGUUGCUGAGAUAACCUGAGUCUUACUACUAGCUUGUAUCUAUACUUUUAUCUUUUCUUAUCUUUUAUAUUCUUUAUUUAUUUUCUUUACUCUUACCUUAUGGAAAACCAAAAUUCUAAAUCGAUCCAUGAGUCUGCAAUCCCUUCAGUAACUGACCUUUUACCAUGGGAGUCAUCACAGCCUAUCCAAACAUCCCAGUAUAAGUUAAGUUCUAGGUUGAUUGCCAUGAUUCAAAACCUAUCUUUUUCGGGAAAGGAAGACGAAAACCCGUACCUUCAUAUUAGAGAUUUUGAGCAAACAUGUGAUUGUCUUCGCGUUGAAGGCAUUUCUGAUAAAACUUUACGUUGGAAGCUUUUUCCUUUUUCUUUAAGGGGAGAAGCUAGACAAUGGUACAGUCAGAAGGUAAGUCAACAACAAGGUGAAUGGGGAGUUUUACGAGCCAACUUUUGUCUAGAUUUCUAUUCUCUUGACCGUAUAGCCGACCUUAGACUUGAAGUCCUAUCUUUUAAACAAAAAGAUAAUGAAACUUUGGGAAAAUCCUGGAAACGUUUUUCUGAUCUUUUAGAAUCUGGUCCAAACCUUAAUCUUGAAGACCCUGUUCUUUUAUUUCACUUUUUUCGAGGUCUUCAAAAAAAUCACAAACAAAUGCUACACACAAUGUCUAGAGGUUCUUUCUUUCGCAUCCCUACUGAUGCAGCUAGAGUGAUCCUAGAUAGAAUCCUAGAAGCUGAGAUGGAUAAUACCCUUCAUGAUGAAACCUACGAAGCCGAAGUAGACACUCUGCCAAAUUAUUCAUCUACUUUAGCUAUCCCAAGUUCUGAGCCACAAGAGGAAGAAAUUCCACCACCGGACUUCAUGCUGGAUAUAGAAUCCGAUCUUUUUGCCGAUUUUGGAAACAUUUUAAACUAUCAUUCUAUUGACAAACCCCAAAAUGAUCAGUUUAGCAUUUAUUUGCCAAGUGAACAUCAAUUGAGAGAGCUUAUCUCAGUAAUGAGUAGCGAAUGGUUGGAGGAAUCAGAGCUUACCUCUGAUGUGAUCCGUUUGGACACACCCUCUAUAACUAUACGCUGUGCUUAUAAUUCUGAUCGAUUUAAUGCUCUAUAUAAUCCUGUUGUGGGGAUCAACAUCAUGUCUGAAUCCUUUGCACUUAAACUAUUUAAAAAUCUUGCCUUAACCCCCACAACAAAGGUCAUAAAGGAAUCUUCGGGACGAUUAGUCCCCAGUCUUGGAAUUAUUAAUGUCCUACCUCUUACGGUAGAAGGCUCCAUGGUUCAUUUGAACUUCUAUAUCUUUGAUACAUGGGACUUCGACCUGUUGAUAGGACAACCUUUUAGAAGACUCCUUUAUGAAGGUCAUACUGGAAAGCUACACAUUUCUUUUGGAAAAACUUUUGAAUUCCCAAUAACAAUUGCACACUCCUUAAACAAUAAGGCCGAAUCAUAUCUUUUGCCUGAUCCUAUGGAGGAGGUAAAGGCUGCAUCUCUAGAGCUUUUAGAAGAACCAGACUUAGAAGACGAAACUCCUUUCUUCACAGAAGAAGAAGACGAACCUUCUGAGCCUGAACCCUUAGAUGAGUUUGCAGAAACACCUAGACCCCCCAUAGAGCUUAAAACUUUACCACCCGGUCUUACCUAUGCUUUCCUAAACAAUAAUCCAGAGUUCCCUGUGAUCAUUAGCGAUAAACUCACUCAGGAUCAAACUCUGCGAUUAAUGACCAUUCUUGAGAAACAUCACUCAGUGUUCGGCUACUCACUCCAAGAUCUUACAGGAAUCAGUCCUAUGAUUUGUACCCAUCGUAUUCCAACAGAUCCUUCUGUUUCACCAUCUCGAGAACCCCAACGUAGACUUAACAACACUAUGAGAGAGGUAGUUAAAAAGGAAGUUAUAAAGUUGCUGCAUGUAGGGAUUAUAUAUCCUGUGCCGCACAGUGAGUGGGUAAGCCCAGUGCAAGUUGUGCCUAAAAUGGGAGGCAUGACUGUUAUUAUGAAUGAAAAGAACGAGCUAAUUCUGCAACGCACCGUCACAGGAUGGCGGAUGUGCAUAGACUAUAGAAAACUAAACGAAGCCACGAGAAAGGAUCACUUUCCUUUACCUUUCAUAGAUGAGAUGCUAGAGCGGUUAGCAAACCAUUCGUUCUUCUGUUUCUUAGAUGGAUAUUCAGGGUAUCAUCAGAUCCCAAUCCAUCCUGAUGAUCAAAGGAAAACCACUUUUACAUGUCCAUAUGGAACUUAUGCUUACCGUAGAAUGUCUUUUGGGUUGUGUAAUGCACCAGCUUCUUUUCAAAGAUGCAUGAUGUCUAUAUUUUCUUAUAUGAUUGAAGAGAUUCUGGAAGUUUUCAUGGACGAUUUCUCUGUUUAUGGAAAACUUUUGAUAGUUGUCUUGAAAACUUAGACAAGGUUUUGCAAAGAUGUGAAGAAAAGCACUUAGUCCUUAAUUGGGAAAAAUGUCAUUUUAUGGUUAGGGAAGGAAUAGUGCUGGGACACCUAGUAUCUGAAAGAGGAAUUGAGGUAGACAAAGCCAAAAUUGAAGUAAUUGAACAACUACCUCCACCUGUGAACAUAAAAGGAAUUCGAAGCUUUCUUGGCCAUGCUAGCUUUUAUCGUAGAUUCGUAAAAGAUUUUUCAUUUAUUGCUAGACCACUUACUCUUUUGCUAGCCAAAGAUGCUCCUUUUGAAUUCGAUGAUGCAUGUCUAACAUCUUUCAAUCUAUUAAAGAAAGCACUCAUCUCUGCACCAAUCAUUCAACCCCCCGAUUGGUCGUUGCCUUUUGAAAUUAUGUGUGAUGCUAGUGAUUAUGCUGUGGGGGCAGUAUUGGGACAAACUAAAAAUAAGAAGCAUCAUGCAAUUGCUUAUGCCAGUAAAACUUUGACAGGAGCUCAACUUAAUUAUGCAACCACUGAAAAAGAGCUUCUGGCUGUUGUCUUUGCCAUUGAUAAAUUUAGAUCUUAUUUACUUGGAGCUAAAAUAAUUGUUUACACUGAUCAUGCUGCACUAAAAUAUUUGCUCACUAAAAAAGAUGCUAAACCUCGCUUGAUUAGAUGGAUCUUAUUACUCCAAGAAUUUGACUUAGAAAUAAAAGAUAAAAAGAGAGUAGAAAAUUCUGUUGCUGAUCACUUAUCUAGAAUGUAUUUUAAGAGUCCACAGGAAACCCCCAUCAAUGAUUCACUUCGGGACGACAUGCUCUACGGGAUUAAUAGGUCUGACCCCUGGUAUGCAGAUAUUGUUAAUUUUAUGGUUUCAGGGUAUGUACCACCAGGAGCAAACAAGAAGAAGCUUAUUCAAGAAAGUCGUUCACAUAUAUGGGAUGAGGCAUACCUCUUCCGAGUAUGCUCUGAUGGCUUACUCAGGAGAUGUGUGACCACUGAGGAAGGAGGGAAGAUCAUCGACAGAUGUCAUUCAUCACCAUAUGGAGGUCACUAUGGAGCAUUCCGUACACAUUCAAAGAUCUGGCAGUGUGGAUUCUACUGGCCUACAGUGUAUGAAGAUACGAAGCAAUAUAUCAGAAGAUUUGGGCCUUGUCAAAGGCACGAAAACAUAAAUACAAGGGAUGCAAUGCCACUCACCAACAACCUUCAGAUUGAGCUCUUUGAUGUAUGGGGAAUAGACUACAUGUGUCCAUUUCCUCCAUCAAAGAAGUGUGAGUACAUCUUGGUGGUAGUUGACUAUGUCUCCAAGUGGGUAGAGGCAUUACCCUGCAAGCAUGCCCACAAUAUCAGUUCAAAGAGGAUGUUUGAAGAAAUUAUAUUUCCAAGAUUUGGAGUCCCCAGAGUAGUGAUAAGUGAUGAGGAGCACACUUCAUCGACAAACGCUUCAAGCAAUAUCUAGCAAAACAUGGAAUCCGUCACAACAUCGCUACCCCUUAUCAUCCUCAGACAAGUGGCCAAGCAGAGACUUCCAACAAACAAAUCAAGAAUAUUCUUCAGAAGACAGUAAAUGAAAUGGGAACGGUGUGGAAAGACAAGUUACCGAUGCACUCUGGGCAUAACGGACAGCAUACAAGACCCCAAUCGGAAUGUCUCCAUACCAAUUGGUGUACGGGAAGACUUGCCAUCUACCUGUUGAACUAGAGUUCAAAGCACACUGGGCCAUAAAGAGAUGGAAUAUGGACCUAGAUGUUGCUGGAGAUUAUAGAAAAAUGCAACUAUCAGAAUUGGAAGAAUGGCGAGAGAAGGCAUAUCACAACUCAAAGAUUUACAAAGAAAGAGUCAAAAGGUGGCAUGACAAGAGAAUCUAGAAGAAGGAGUUCACACCCGGAGAUAAGGUAUUACUUUUUAAUUCCUGGGUGAAGCUUUUCGGGCAUGGAAAACUCCGGAGCAAAUGGGAAGGACCAUUCAAGGUAAUUAAUUCAUCAUCCCACGGAGCUAUUACACUUCAAAAUGACGAAGGUACGUUAUUCAAGGUAAAUGGUCAACGUCUUAAAUUAUUUUUAGAGCCUAAUAAAGAAUUAGAUGAAAUAGACGUAGUCCACUUUUACCUUCCCAUGGAGAAUUAGAGCCCGACCUUUUUAGUCUGAUGUUUUUGGGUCAUAUAUAUAUUUUUUUAAAUAAUUUCGCAUCUAGAAACGCGCUCGAGAAAGUGGGCCCACAGAGGGGCUAGAGAGAGGGCGGGCGCCCAGCUCAAGUGGGCGGGCGCCCAGCUCCAGUUCCCCCUCGGUCCCGAUUUUCUCUGUUAUGGAAAAUGCACUUAUGGUAAUCCGAAUAAUCCCUCGGAUGGAAAGUUUCACACGCACAUCGACGGGAGAAACCCGAACAACCCAUAGAUGCACUUUUUGACCCCUAUAUAAACAGACCCCUGACCUCAGUUUUCAAACACCAAAGCCACCAAGCCUUCUCUCCUUCAAUUAGAGCUUGAUUAGUUCCUUGCUGCUCCAAUGGCCGAGAAGUACCACGAUGAUUGGGAAGUCGUCCACUUCAACCUCAACAUGGAGCCUGUGGAAGACCCCGAUGCCCGUGCUCUCGUCCCGGCCAACACAGAGCGACAGCUAGCAGCCAUGCCAUUACGCCAACACAGCUCCGCCCAAUCUUACCAAGCUCAACCAGUUCUCACCGCACCGCCACAACCCCUACUCCUCAAAGGAUCAUCAUCCAAGACGAAGACCACCAUCAAGGUGCCAACCGGCACAAGGAUCCUUCCACCUAGACCUAAUGAGAGGGUCGUUGGAGUCAAGACCAACUGGAGUGGCGAGAUCAGCAGUAUUCGCUACACUACAAAGGAAGAAAGGCCUUACUUUGAAGGGAUUAGAGCAGCCAAAGUCCGUUUCAUCCCUCCAAAGGCAGCCCCGAAGCACGCUCUCAAUGCUUUUGAGACACCUCCCAAGCGUAGCAAGACUAUAAUGGAUAUUGAUGAGGACGUUCGCAGACUAGACAAAGUUAUCAUAGACCUCCAGUCCUCUAUUAAUUCCCUCACUAGGCAGCUCUCUAACCACAACACUAUUAUACUAGGCCUUAGGCAGGAUCUUGCUAGUGCCAACAAGAAGAUUAAGGAAUUAGAGCGCCGCUAAGUUAUCUAGAUUAGACCUUGAGGCAAUGCAUUUUAGUCAUCUAUCUUUAAAUUCGGUUUAGGUUUGCUAUUAUCAUCAAUUUGCUAUUAUCAUCAGUUUGCUAUUAUCAUUAGUUUGCUCUUAUCAGUUUGCUACUAGUCUUUUGUAAUAAAUGCCUCAAGAUUAAUAAAGAGUAUUAUUAUUAUUAUUAUUAUGUCUUGUGUGUCUCUACUUUAUUUUUUGUGCAAGAAAGCAGAAAACAAGUAUGGGGGAGAUCCCUCGACAUGCUAAACACACUCCGACCACAUCACUCCACGAUUCAGGUACACACUCUGCACACUUUACUUUAUACAUAUAUUUUGGAUUAUGCAGAAUAUUGUUUCCGACAUGAUAAAUUAAAAAGAUUAAAAUAUUUCUAAUCAUGGUUAAUCUCAAUCUAUGAUAUUUCCUGAAAACUUGCAACUAUUAUAAAAUCAUUUUAAAACCCUGUGUUACUUAAGUCAAUAUGAAAUAUGUGAUGGUAGAGUAUGAGUUUCUUAUUCUUGAUAUCAUUGUUGCUUGGAGAAUUUAUUUCAAAAUAUUCAAAAUUCUAGCUACCAUCCUCAGUGUUUUAUAUGCCUGAUAAAACUAAAAAUAUUAAUUAUGAUUAUAAAAGCUAUCUACUCUGUAUUGAGUUUGUUCAAAAUGAGUUAGACCCUUGUUGAGAGAUUUAUCAUGCUCCUAAGAUCAAGACAUUUAUUCAGAAAGAUUCACUCUUCCGAAGUAUUAUUGCAUUAGAGGCAUGGGCUAUGCAAAAAUAGAGAUAUUUUGAGGAAAUAAAAAGGAGCAAGUGCUCGACAACCUCGCAGAAAAAUGGACAAGUGUCUGGCAGUAGAAUUAGGGGUACCUCGGUAUCCACUUAAAAAAAAGGGGAAAAAAUGAUAGCCCAUGGUCCCUCUAAUAAGCAAUAUGCCAGCAAGAGUUGACAAAGAUUGUAAUUUCCAAAGGCUUUGAUCUAAGAGUAUGACAUUCCCCUCCUCGUAUCCCGUUUUGAUCAGGCAAUAAAUGCAAAGUAAGUAUGCUUGAGAAUUUUAGCAAAAUAAAACAACCUCAGUGAGAUAUAUAUAUAAAAAAAUAAUGAGUGAUCUGAGAAGAACCUAUGAGGAUAAAAAGGUAUGCUAACUUUCUUUCAAAAAAAUAUAUACAAAAACUCCAAGUGACAGGAUUGAGAAGAAAGGAUCUUUACUCUUAACCAUAAACAUCCCUGACUAUAGUACACAGUGGAUUUUUAACACCCUCCAACUAUAAAGAGAAUGCUUUUAAAAUGUUUUACCCCAGAUAUUGUUCUUAACCAUCAUUUUCUCGAGGACGAGUAAAAGCCUAAGUAUGGGGGUAUUUGUUGACGGUUCUUAAGUAUCAAUUUUAAUUAUCAAAUAAACAAGGGAAAGGACCAAUAUACAACCAACACCUAGAAUUAGGGUUUGAUCUGACAGAAUUCCACGAGUUUUGUUGUUUAUCUGUUUCUGCAGGGGGGUAUCAGGAAAUAAGGAAGAACGGCCCACAUGUCAGGAUUACAUAGAGAUAUCAAUGCACCGCGCGAUUUUCUACCAUCUAGAAGACUCCAGAAGCCACGGGAAGAAAACAGAGGCCGAAAGGGGCCAGGCCCAGGGCGCCCGCCCUGGUGACCUGGGCGCCCGCCCCCUGUUGGAUCCAGUUUGGGACUCUCUUCGCACGGGAUGUUCCACCGACCUAUUGGGUCGAGGAAAACAUAGUACCACCUCGCCUACCGACCCAAAAACGCAUAGAGGAGGAGGACUAUAUAAGGAGACCCCCUGGCCCCUGGAGAAGACAUGAAGAAAUUAUCGUAGAGAUUGAGGGGUGCCCUCGAAGGAAAACCUCUUCUCUAAUUAAUAUUUCUUUUUAUGCUUAGCAACCAAUGUAAAGUAGAAAUAGAUCUUCUAGUUUCUACUAGAUUGAGAGAGAUAGAGUGGAGGUGUAGAUUGGAGGAAGCCCGGCCUGUCGGUGUCUACUCCAAGCUUGUACCUGCGGGAUCAAGUUCUCCUAACCCGAAGCUUGCUCCUAGGAUUCUUCAGUAUUUUGACUUCUAAAUUCUAGUAAGUUCUUGUUUUAUUGUUCUUAUGGUUUAUGAGUUUACUUUAAUCUCUUUGCAUAGAGUUUAGAGUAAUCAUUGCUGGCGUAAACGUGGUGUUUAGGCUGGGGUACUCAUAGAUAUUCCCUGACUAGCUGGACCGUGGUAGUAGUGAGGAACGUGACAAUUCCGAGUUACCUUUGCAGACCAUAUCUCGUUAGCAGGAAGGAUAGGGUUUAUAGGUGCGGGUUGAACAUCCUUUGUGGUGUCUAGAUUCCGUUAGCCUCCCCAUUAGAACCGUAGAUCAUCCUUACCAAGGUUAGAAGGAGACUACGGUUGCAGUCUUCUCUAUUUAUCACUCACAUCGAAAGACAUUCUUUGUGCCUAAAGGGUUAGUAGUAAUAGACCGGUUAGUCAGAUGCACUCUUUCUCCUAGUGGUAAAAAAAUAAAUACGAUACUCUGGAUAAUUUCCCGGGUGAAGUGCUCACCGAUAUCCGUGCGCUUGCGGAUCAAUUCCUUAUUGCGUUCCCAAAUAUCAACAAGCAUAAUCCCCGAGACUCGUGCUGAUUGGCCAGCAAAGGACGGCAGGCGCCCUGCCUCCGAGCCCAAUCGCCUUCCCGUUUGUUUCCGUGGCUUCUGGAGUCUUCUAGAUGGUAGAAAAUUGCGCGGCACGUUAAUAUCUCUAUGUAAACCCGACGUGUGGGCCUUUCUUCCGUAUUUCCUGAUAACCCCCUGCAGAAAUAGACAAACACCAAAACUCGUGGAAUUCUGUCAGAUAAAACCCUAAGUCUAGGUGUUGGUUGCAUUUGGAUCCUUUUCCAUGAUUAAUUGAUGGUUAAAUGUGAGCAUUAAGGACCGUCAACAAGCUCCCCCAAGCUUAACCUUUGCUCAUCCCUGAGCAAAGAUGGACUCAAGAGUUUUUUAUAGGAUAGGAAUAUAUUUAUUUCAUUUUUUUAUGCCACCACAGUGAAUGUACUUAUGGGUUUUAUGCCAUGAGCAUACUCACAUGGGGCUUACUAUUUUAAACAUUUUUAUUUUCUUUUCAAGAUGAUAUGAGCUUGAUUAACUAAGCCAAUUGAAAGGAAAAAGAUAACUACCAAGUUUACCUCUUGGCAAGGCGUUCGGUGUUUUUACGUCCUCCGAACGGGACUCUCCGUUUCCUCAGUCGUCCUGGAUUCGCUGGAUGGCGUAGUCGGUGGUUCCGGCAACGCCUCCUCUUCGUGUAUAGCUAUCUUCUCUCUCCACACCUGACUUGGUGCUACGGUCUCCUCAGGACAAUUCUGUUCAAGUUGUAUCUCUUCAGACCUUACCACUUCUCCUUCGUAGUCUGCUCAUCCGUCCUUGAUGAUUUUCCUCCUCUAGUUGCGGUUGCGUCGUCUUCUUCUUGUCCUGACCUGCUUAGAGUCUUCAUCUAUAUAGUUAGGGUCAGUAAAAUAGCAGCGUACCUUCUUAGAGGGGAAGUGCAUGUGGACUUCUCCGGUUCCCAUGUAGAUGAUUGCUUUAGCGGUGCUGAGGAACGGUCUUCCAAGGAUGUCGGGUGGAUCAAAUUCGUCUUCUCUGAUGUCAAUAACCGUAAAAUCAUCUCGAGCUGAAUGUAUGUUGGUUGUAGGGGCAUGGUUCCAUGCAAGAGCUGAUAAGUGACUGCGGCCAUUAUGUUGACGUCAGAUCCAGUGUCGCAAAGCAUCUUCUAGAAGUUGUAUCCAUUAAUGGAGCACUGGAUGCUUGGCAUACUUGGGUCGUCCUUUUUGGUCAGGAACGGUGACUUAAGUCGACGAUCUUGACCUCCUUGAGCUGCAGUGACCAUCUUAGCUGACUCGGUCCACAUUUACUUAUUCCUGUUCCUCCUGUUGGUCCUUUUUCCUGGUUCAUGUCGGGAUUGCUCUGAGAUUUGUGUAGUCUUGUUCUUGAAGGAAAACGUCUCCUUCCUCCCUUUGAUGUAGAAACUGAUCUUGGCAGCACUAGCGUGGAUGACAGCUCCCGAGGUGUUCAGGAAUGGCCUCCCUAGGAUGAUGGGUGCCCUCUCAUUAGUACCAGUCUCUAUUACCAAGAAGUCUGCUGGGGCGUACAAGGUACCAACUCAGACGCAAAGGUUCUUCAAUAUUCCCUUUGGGAAACUUAGUGUCUGAUCUGCAGGCUGCAAAUGCAUGGUUGUUUCUAGUAAAGGAUGUGUAAAGAAUUUUUCAUAGAGUACCCGGGGCAUAAUGUUGACUCUAGAGCCAAAGUCGCAGAGUGCUUCUAGGAAGUCCACCAUGCCGAUGGAGAUCGGGAUGACGGGGUGUUCUAGAUUGUCUCUCUUGACCAGCAGAAGGUCAGUUAUUACUUCCACAACAGGGUUACUCCAGAAGUUACGUCCUCAAGCAUCUCAGGGCAGUGAUUGCCUGAGUGUCCAGUAUCUCCAGUGUGUUUGUGCUCGUAGAUCUAGGUUCUUCACUUGGUGGAGUCUAGGAGUUGUAAAAGUCUUUCAUAUUUUGCUCGAAGUGUACCUACUCAUAGAGACAAGGCAGAGAUCAAGUGCAUGGGCCCUAUUGGUGGAAAACACCAACAGAACCAAAAAUGUAUUUGUUCUUCUCUAACCUUAAGCAUAGUGAGCAAGACAAAGUUGGUGGAUAAUAAGAUCAUGAGUGUAGCAUUUAAAACAUUUGUCAUAUCAGAUCGCUCAACCUAAUGGAAAGAUAAUCUAUCCAUAUUCAUGUUUUGUUUAUAUCUUCCAAAGAUUGAAUGUGCAACAUUUUAGCUUAUAUGAUUAGGAGUGUGGAAUCACAAAGGUGGAAAGACUAAACAUGUUGAAUCAAUUGGGUUGAUUAAUCUAGAGUUGUAAAUCAUAUAUGUUUGUCUCUUUUAUUCAUGUGAAUGCCAGAACCAAGGAGAAGCUUUAUAAAAGUGAUAGUCAAGUACCUUAAGAUGUCACCUUACUUGAAGAGUGAUGGUACAGUAUCACCUUGUGGAAGCUUUCCUUUCUUAGUGGUUGUGCAUAGUGUUUGUGGCACCCUCCAUGGAUCAUCUCUUGUGAGCUAUGCCUUCCUUGUGUAAAUUGUUAAACUUCAUGUGUCUCUCUCUUUGUCUCCAAUGUGAGUUUAUCUCAGGACUUCCCAGGUCGAUAUUGCAAGUUUUUCUGCAGGGGUUAGUCCAACAAAAUAUCCAAUAUCUACUAUAGCAUACUAUCGGCUCAAAAAUCAACCUAAACACCAUGUCUAAUUUGAUUUAGGAGGGCAUAUUAAUCUAAGCAUCAUGCUUAAUUUAAACUCCCUUGGAAGUAAGAUCAUCAUUUCCAUGUGAGAGCUUAUCAUGAGGGUUUAUAGCAAACUUUAUUUAUUUAUUUACUUAGCAAACUAAGCAAAGAUAUAUAUAUAUAUCAGCACAAAAUCUUUAUUUGGAUUUUUAUGAUCAUGCAUCGUUUUAUUAUUUGAGUAAAGUAUAAACGUGAGUAGAACACUUAGCUGGAUAAAUGGGGUUGCUCUCCCCCAAGCUGGAUUUUGACGUAAUUUCUCCUGAUGUAGCUAGCAGGUGGCGGAGGUGUAUUUGAAUGUCGGUAGCACCCUGACAGCGAUUAGGAUGUCCUUUGUCUCCUAGUCUUCUUUGAUCCUUGAAUUCUGUGGAGCUGAAAUACACAACAAAGCUUUGUGGAACUAGUUAAGUGUUAGCAUAAAUAUCUAGCCUUUAUCAUGUUGAGCCUCCUCAAUAAAUGUUACACUCUUUGGCAGGAUCAUAAAUUUAUUUUUAUAUUUUUAUUUUUAUAGGACAGAAAUAUAUUUAUUUUAUUUUUAUGCCACCACAGUGAAUGUACUUAUGGGGUUUAUGCCACUCAUAUACUCACAUGGGGCUUACUAAUUUUUAACAUUUUUUAUUUUCUUUUCAAGAUGAUAUGAACCUGAUUAACUAAUCAAACUAUUUUAAAUAAUUGAAAGGAAAAAGGAUAACUACCAAGUUUACCUCUUGGCAAGCGUUCGGUGUUUUUGAGUCCUCCAAACGGAACUCUCCGUUUUCUCAGUCGUCCUGGGAUUCGCUGGAUGGCGUAGUCGGUGGUUCCGUGGCGCCUCCUCUUCAUGUAUGACUAUCCUCUCUCUCCACACCUGACUCGGUGCUACGGUCUCCUCAGGACAGUUCUGUUCAAGCUGUAUGUCUUCAGACCUUACCACUUUUUCCUUCGUUGUCUGCCCAUCCGUCCUUGAUGAUUUGCCUCCUCUGGUUGCGGUUGCGUCGUCUUCUUCUUGUCAUGACCUGCUUAGAGUCUUCAACUAUAUAGUUAGGGUGAGUAAAAUAGCGCGUACCUUCUCAGAGGGGAAGUGCAUGUUGACUUCUCCGGUUCCAAUAUUGAUGAUUGCUUUAACGGUGCUGAGGAACAGUCUCCCAGGGAUGAUGGGUGGAUCGUACUCGUCUUCUUCAACCUUUCGGAAUGUCUAAUCUGCCAUCUGGAGCUGAGUGUAUGUCGGUUUUAGGGGCAUGGUUCUGAACAGGAGGUGAUAGGUGACUGCGGCCAUUGUGUUGACGCCUGACCCGGUGUCGCACAGUGCUUCUGGGAAGUCCACCAUGCCGAUGGAGAUCAAGAUGACGGGCAUCCUAGAUCGCCUCUCGGAGUAGUUAGGCCUCUGUUGAUUCCAACCUUGAUUUUGUUGAGGACGAUUUGUUGAUGUAGUUUACGUCCUCAAGUAUCUCAGGGCAGUGAUUGCCUGAGUGUCCAGUAUCUCCAGUGUGUUUGUACUCGUAGAUCUAUGUUCUUCACUUGGUGGAGUGUGGGAGUUGUAAAACUCCUCCAUAUUUUGCUUGAAGUGUACCUGCUCAUAGAGACAAGGUAGAGAUCAAGUGCAUGGGCCCUGUUGGUGGAAAACACCAACAAAACCAAAAGUGUAUUUGUUCUCUCUAACCUUAAGCAUAGUGAGCAAGACAAAGUUGAUGGAUAAUAAGAUCAUGAGUGUAGCAUUUAAAACAUUUGUCAGAUUAGAUCGCUCAACCUAAUGGAAAGAUAAUCUAUCUAUACUUAUGUUUUUAUAUAUAUCUUCCAAAGAUUACGUGUGCAACAUUUUAGCUCACAUGAUUAGGAGUGUGGGAUCACAAAGGUGGAAGGACUAAACAUAUUGAAUCGAUUGGGUUGGUAAAUCUAGAGUUGUAAAUCAUACAUGUUUGUCUCUUUUAUUCAUGUGAACACCAGAACCAAGGAGAAGCUUACAAAAGUGAUAGUCAAGUACUUUA